rnacentral:rRNA from 1 species
UGAACGCUAGCGACAGGCUUAACACAUGCAAGUCGAGGGGCAUCAUGAGGUAGCAAUACCUUGAUGGCGACCGGCGCACGGGUGAGUAACGCGUAUGCAACCUGCCCGAUACCGGGGUAUAGCCCAUGGAAACGUGGAUUAACACCCCAUAGUACUUUUAUCCUGCCUGGGAUGGGAGUUAAAUGUUCAAGGUAUCGGAUGGGCAUGCGUCCUGUUAGUUAGUUGGCGGGGUAACAGCCCACCAAGACGAUGAUAGGUAGGGGUUCUGAGAGGAAGGUCCCCCACAUUGUAACUGAGACACGGUCCAAACUCCUACGGGAGGCAUCAGUGAGGAAUAUUGGUCAAUGGACGUAAGUCUGAACCAGCCAAGUCGCGUGAGGGAGGACUGCCCUAUGGGUUGUAAACCUCUUUUAUAAGGGAAGAAUAAGUUCUACGUGUAGAAUGAUGCCUGUACCUAAUGAAUAAGCAUCGGUUAAUUCCGUGCCAGCAGCCGCGGGUAAUUAGGAGGAUGCGAGCGUUAUCCGGAUUUAAUUGGUUUUAAAGGGUGCGUAGGCGGUUUAAUAAGUUAGUGGUUAAAUAUUUGAGCUAAAACUCAAUUGUGCCAUUAAUACUGGUAAACUGGAGUACAGACGAGGUAGGCGGAAUUAAGUUAAAGUAGCGGUGAAAUGCAUAGAUAUAACUUAGAACUCCGAUAGCGAAGGCAGCUUACCAGACUGUAACUGACGCUGAUGCACGAGAGCGUGGGUAGCGAACAGGAUUAGAUACCCUGGUAGUCCACGCCGUAAACGAUGCUCACUGGUUCUGUGCGAUAUAUUGUACGGGAUUAAGCGAAAGUAUUAAGUGAGCCACCUGGGGAGUACGUCGGCAACGAUGAAACUCAAAGGAAUUGACGGGGGCCCGCACAAGCGGAGGAACAUGUGGUUUAAUUCGAUGAUACGCGAGGAACCUUACCUGGGUUUAAAUGGGAAAUGCCGUAUUUGGAAACAGAUAUUCUCUUCGGAGCGUUUUUCAAGGUGCUGCAUGGUUGUCGUCAGCCCGUGCCGUGAGGUGUCGGGUUAAGUCCCAUAACGAGCGCAACCCUUACCGUUAGUUGCUAGCAUGUAAUGAUGAGCACUCUAACGGGACUGCCACCGUAAGGUGAGAGGAAGGCGGGGAUGACGUCAAAUCAGCACGGCCCUUACACCCAGGGCUACACACGUGUUACAAUGGCCGGUACAGAGGGCCGCUACCAGGUGACUGGAUGCCAAUCUCAAAAGCCGGUCGUAGUUCGGAUUGGAGUCUGUAACCCGACUCCAUGAAGUUGGGUUCGCUAGUAAUCGCGCAUCAGCCAUGGCGCGGUGAAUACGUUCCCGGGCCUUGUACACACCGCCCGUCAAGCCAUGGAAGCCGGGGGUGCCUGAAGUCCGUAACCGCGAGGAUCGGCCUAGGGCAAAACUGGUAA